rnacentral:rRNA from 1 species
GGAUUCCCCUAGUAACUGCGAGUGAAGCGGGAAAAGCUCAAAUUUAAAAUCUGGCAGUCUUUGGCUGUCCGAGUUGUAAUCUAGAGAAGUGUUAUCCGCGUUGGACCGUGUACAAGUCUCCUGGAAUGGAGCAUCAUAGAGGGUGAGAAUCCCGUCUUUGACAUGGACUACCAGUGCUUUGUGAUGCGCUCUCAAAGAGUCGAGUUGUUUGGGAAUGCAGCUCAAAAUGGGUGGUAAAUUCCAUCUAAAGCUAAAUAUUGGCGAGAGACCGAUAGCGAACAAGUACCGUGAGGGAAAGAUGAAAAGAACUUUGGAAAGAGAGUUAAACAGUACGUGAAAUUGCUGAAAGGGAAACGCUUGAAGUCAGUCGCGUUGGCUGGAAAUCAACCUUGCUUUUGCUGGGCGUACUUUCUAAGUCAAUGGGUCAGCAUCAAUUUUGACCAUUGGAAAAAGUGUAGGGGAAUGUGGCAUCUUCGGAUGUGUUAUAGCCCCUGCUCGCAUACAAUGGUUGGGAUUGAGGAAUUCAGCACGCCGCAAGGCCGGGUUUCGACCACGUUCGUGCUUAGGAUGCUGGCAUAAUGGCUUUAAUCGACCCGUCUUGAAA